GUACGGCCUUACAGAAAAGAAAUAAGAUCUGUAUUUGACUCGUCUUUGUACCCACAGUGCAUAGAACAUAGUAUAGUAGGUGUCUGAUUCAUUUUUGUUGAAUUGCUCUGUUUUAUGCUACAUAGUAGAUUUAGGAGGCUCUGCAUGACCAGGAAUGGAUCGGUGUAAAGAUCAGAGGCCUGUAAAUGAAUCCUGCUCUGAUUGAAGCAAAGCCAGUGUUACUGGGAUUACCUCAUAACACAGACAUGGUUUUAAGCCUUGGCACUGCAGCUGUGACCUGUGCCACAGCUACGGCAACACUGGAUCCAUUAACCCAACUGAGCACUGAACCUGGCCAGGGGUCAAAUCUGCGCCUCAGCAGAAAGCUGAGCUGCUGCGUUGGAUUCUUAAUCUGCACCAUGGUGGGAACUCCUUAACAUGCUUUUAUCAACACUUUGUCAAUGAAGAAAAUGGAGUUUGUGAUAGAAUUCAUUCUUUCUGCCUUCCUGCCUUCCUUCCUCCCUCCCUCCUUCCUUUCCUUCUCUACCGCCUCGUGGCAUACUGAGCUCCCAGGCCAGGGGAGCUGCAUUUGUGACCUGUGCCACAGUUGUGGCACCAGAUCCUCUAACCCACAGUACCAGGCUGGGGAUAGAACCUGUAUCCUGGUGCUGCAAGACGCACUGAUCCUGUUGCACCACAGUGGGAAUUCCAGAAUCUUAUCUUUUCUUUUCUUUUUUAGGGCAGCACCUGUGGCAUAUGGAAGUUCCCAGGCCAGGGGUUGAAUCAGAGCUGAAGCUGCCAGCCUACACCGCAGCUCAUGGCAAUGCCACAUCUUCAACCCACUGAGCGAGACCAGGGAUUAAACCUGCAUUCUCAUGGACACUAGUCGCGUUUGUUACUGUUGAGCCACGACGGGAGCUCCUGGAAUUAUUUCUUACAUGCUGUCAUCUUUUGUUUUCUUCCUUCAUCACCAAAGCCAGCAUAUACCAUGGAUGACCCUCAUAUAUACUAUCAUAAUUAGGACUGAAUUUAUUUAUAAACAGAUAAAGUGGUUUGUAUUUUCCCUCUCAUUUUUACAAUUUUCUUAUUCAGACUUCCUCUUUAAAAAGAUGUUAAAAGUUCUUGUUUUGUGGUCAUAAUAAAAUAAACCUGUCAUGCAUUUUGGUGGGAGUGGUCAGAGGUGGGGAAAACAGACAUUUCCCAUGAGAAGCAGCUAUGGCAUUAGCUCUCUCCUUUAGAAGCUGGCCAGAUGAAGGCAUCCUUCUUUGGCUCUGACACUCUGGUCGAGACAGGUACCCCUUUCCUCCCACCACAGUUCAGUCUCAUUUAGGGCAAAUUUAUUUAAAGCAGUUUCACAUCUGCACAAUUAAUAAAUUACUAUGCUCUAAUUUGCAUUUCUGAUGUCUUGUAGUAAGCACAGCAAGUUCCCCUUUGCCCUUACAAAAAAACAGUUCAGUCUGCCCAAGCUUCCUAGAGCUGAAUAAAAAUUUCCCAAGAGCCCUCCUGCAUCUUUAGCAUACUCUUCAUAUAAAGGCUUAAACUGUUAAAACUUCUUUGCUCUCAUCCUUUUGGUCAUUAAGUCAUUGCAGGCACAAUAGUAAUCUGUGUCUUACCCUUGUUGUGCAGUCUAGAGUUUAUACUGAUUUCACCAACAUCUUAUUGGCUCUUUAUAAAUAUGCUGUGAAGUAGAUAUCAGGGUAUCAUUAGUCCCAGUUUUGCAGAUGAGGAAAUAGGUUCAUUGUUGUCUGAGUUUGCAGUGGCUUUCCCCCGCCCUGUGACAAAACCCCUGUUUUCCUCUAGAGGUCUGCCCACUGUGAAGAACAGAAUCUAUCUUAUUUAAACUAAGGUUAUUUUUUUUCUUUUUCUUACUUUCAACUGGAUAAGUUAUUGUAAAUACCUGGAACUACAGUGGCAUAGUCAGUAUGGUUGUUUAAUUGUUAAUGCCCUGUGGGCUAUAAAAUAUCAAUAGAAUGGGCCUUAAAUUCUUGGUGCAUUUAAAUCUAUUUGUGUAUUUAAAUAAGUGUUCUCAGAUCUUGUGGAACGACUGUCCAUUUGACUUAACUUUUUUACAGCUUGUGAUGGAAAAUUAAAUGCAUAGGGACCUCACACUGACAGAGAAUGUGCUUUGAAGUGUAUAUUAGGAUUCUUAAGUGAAAUUUGGAUUAUGUAUUGGGGCCAUUUUUUUUUUUCCUGUGAGACAUAUUUCUGAAAUUAUGAUGAAAUUUAAUUGGAGAAUAUGAAUUGGUAUCUAGCUUUCUCAGCUACACCCAUUUUUGGAAGACAUUCAUAUUAUAAGGUGAUAUCAACUAGUGUUUUCAAAGAAGUGAGGGCAAGUGCUAAAGUUUUUUUCUUUUUAAAUUUGAGACAUUUUAACUUGGCACUCUGUGGAAUAGGAGCGUUUCACAGGCCAGUUAGAGAGUUCGAUACAGCACUGCUGCCAACUCUACAAGAGAAGCUAUUUCUAUCCAAAUAUCCAUUAUUCUAUUAAUAUUUUACAUACAAGAAAAGUUUUGUUAGGAUCUUAUCUCAAAGCUCCCCAAGAGUAAAGAGACCUGCUAAUUACAGUAUUUUGGGAGAAUGAUAAAAGAUUGAUUGCAUUAGAGCUCUGGAAACCUUUAUUUAACAGAUUUAAGGUCUGACAUAAAGUAAAUUUAUGUAGAAUAUUUGUUUCAAUAGAUACCAUUUGUUUCAAUUUAAUUUUUAUAGUUUGAUUUCGAAUAGUUAUACCAACUUUGAGACAGGUGUAGUAUUUAAUGGCUAAAGAAAAAGUUUGUUGAAAAAUUGCAAUUUGAGGAGAAGCCAGAGCCUGUAUUUCUUGAAGAAGGCAUAUAAAAUGGAUGGGGUUACAAACUGUGAACUUGCUUCUCUUUACUUUGGUUUUUCAUUUAAAAUGGGGUAUGAAAAAAAAGUCAUGAGGAUAAGUAGGUAGAACUCCUUCCUACCCUCUCUUAAAGCAGUUGAAUCCAGUGGUCCCUCUCUUUCUACCUUGACACAGCCUGUGAGGGAGGAAUUAUCAUCUCCAUUUUAGAUGAGGGAAUUGAGUCUCAGAAGCUCGGCAACUUGCCCAAGGUCAUUCUUCUGAUAAGUGUUGGAGUUGGCAUUCCAUUCCAGCUCAUUCUAAGGAGGCCUGGCUCCUGCUUGCUCACCCCCUUACGCUGCCUCUGGUGCUUCUGGCCUGGCCUUUGUACCACUGCGUCCUGCCCUGUACCCAGUUUGAUUUCUAUUGAAUUGUAACGGUGAAGUUAUGGCCCAGGAUAAAAGUAUCUCUUCUUUCUUUGUCGAGUAGAUUGCCAUAUUUACAUUUGCUUCUUAACUAUUUUUUAAAUUAUUCUAAGCAGAUGGUAAACCUCUAAAGUUGAAAAAGUUAGUAUUCUAUAGUAUUAUCAGAGGUGAAAUACCUGGUGAUUUUACUUUUUAAAGAACGUUGUCAUGCCACAACAUAAAAAAGGAAAUAGUUUUGGAAUUCAGAAAAUUUAUAUUCAAAGAGAAUAAUAGAAUUUAAGCUCUAGAAGGGAUAUUGCAGAUGAUCUUGGAGAAAGCAAGGGCCAGAUUGAGGAACUGGGACCCAGGCCGUGUGAGUGGUAAAGCUGGAACUAAGACGUUAAGAUUUCUGGUUUGGAGUUUUGCUAAAGAAAUCUACUUAGCUCCAAAUGAUGUAGAACAUAUUUUAGUCAGUUGAUGGCACCAUUUUCACAGCAGGAAUAUGUGACUUUUUUUGUGUGUAUUGUUUAUUAAUGGCUAAAAAGGAUUAAGGAACUAAAAUGUUAUAUUUUUAUAGUAGAGCUCAUAUUAACUUUGAAAGCAUUUUAUCAUUGUCCUAGUUACUUCUUAAUUGUUUAGUAGUAUAACACACUUUUGGUAACUAGCAGAUACUUACAUGGCUUUGGUCUAGCUUCUUGUGUCCUGCGAAGACAGAAUUUGCAAAACAAUAACACAUUGUUAAAUGGCAUGCCAGUUUAUCAAAUGCCAUAAGUUAAUUACAGUCUGGUCUUGGGAAAAACCAUCCCAGCCUCAUAGCAGCUCAUCCUAAUCUUAAACUAAAGAGCCUUUAAAGUUAUUCUCAGGCUGUUAUAUUUUGUUCUAUCCAUGAAAAUGUUAAACCUCUCAUAGAUGUUGAUCAGAGGAAAGAAGUUUUAAAACCCUAAACCGUAAUUUAGUUGUGAAAGAGUGAUUUAAUUGUGAAAGAGUGAUUUAACUGAUUUGUGUACUGUGACGCCUCAUGGUGGCCUUAUUAAGAAACUGCCAUAGUGAAACAAAGACCGCAUACCUCACAUACCUUGUAACUGACUGAAUCCCUUCCAAUGUAUGUGCAGUAAAUAUAGGUGAGUUUAGACCCUAGAUAAUAUUUUUGAGGUUUGUUUUUAAUGCUUCAUUUGGGAGAAAUUAACCCCUGCUCUGCAGGUCAGGGAGGAAGCUUUGUAUGCUGGAUCAGGGCAUUGCUUCUGGGAGUUCACCUGCUUUCCUCCAAUGUGGAAUUUCCAAAGAACAAGAGCCAGGUAGUUGCCAGCAGCUGCUGGCCUCUGCUACUUCUUUGUGUAACUUAAAGGACAUUCUUUUCUUGAAAUACUCUAUAGUUUCAGUUGUUGGAAAAUUGUCAUAAUAGAUAGAUUUUGUUAGAACAAGACACUUUCCUUUUGGCAGGAAAUUGUCAUAAUUAAUAUAUAGAGCUAUGCUCUCUGACGUGAAUGGCGCCCCCUAGGGUUGUACACAGCACAGCUUGCGCAGCUGUACGUGGAGACCCUGCAGGCAGUUGUAUCCGAGGAGAUUAUGUCUUUAGACAUCAGAUAUUAAAACAUCACGUCAUAAAACUAUAAAUGUAGUCCUUAAAUAUAAAAUGCUAGUUAUUUAUGAAAUCGUUAUUUGUUUUAGUUAUAAACAUAAUAGAAGUUGUUUCUUUUGGAAUAGAGUGGAGACGUUUCUUAACUUCUGCAGUGUACUGACAAGGCUCUACUAUAUUCUAUUACACAUCUCUUGGCCCACCCAAUUUAAUAUAUUUUCAAAGUUGGUCUGUCUUUAAAAGUUCUGAUUAAAGAAGAAAAUUUUUGACCUUUAUGAAGGAGCUUUCCUUUAUUAGAUAGGUGCAGUAAUAGCAUGCAGAAUGACUUUAAGCAUCCACCUCUUUUAUCCAUCAUUAAAAGUUAAUUGUCACAUCAUAUAAGUGCCCAACUUGAUGGGAUUUUUAACGUACCAAAAAUUGGCAACCUGUGACGAGGAAAGUAUGUUCUGUGAGGAGUUGAGAAGAGAAUGAAAGGAAAAAGGGACUUUUAUAAAUCUUAAGUGGCAGCUAAAUGGAAAUAAAAGCUUUUAAUUUUUGUGGGACUUUGGUGAUUGCAGAUCAGUACCUUAUGUUUAGUUGAAAGCAGAAGUUUUCAGAAAGCAACUUAUUUGCGAUGAGGGAGGUCAUUUGGGUGACUCCAGACUGUAGAUGUUUACAGUUGCUGUCUUUGUGCUGGUCCAUGGAAUUAUUUUCUUAAUGGGAGCAGUAAUUGCCUUUUUCAUUCUUAUAUAAGGAGUAGCAAUUGGUGGGAUAUUCAGCAGGAAACCCAUUCCUAUGUUUGUAGUCUGUGGUGCUUCCCUGGUUGAGUUUGAGUCCAGUAGGUAGUGAUGAUGCAUUAAGUACCUAAAAUCACAGUUGUGCUGGGUCCUUCAUUCAGUUUGGUGACAUGAUUGUAAAUUGCUAGGCUCCAAGCAAAGAUUUUGAAAUGUGCUCUCAUACCAGUCCUCCUCACAGUUUGGGGGGAUGGGCGUAAAGUGUUCUCGGUUUGUAAAAAGGAGAGUACUUGUUUACAGUAGCUUGAAGACGCUAAUUGUUUCUAGUAGGAAUAUUACACUUGAAACCUCAAGGUAAUCCUUAACUUCUAUUUAGGUCCCACUGACUGGUCCCCCAGUGACCAGUUUUCUCACUCUAAUACCUAACCUGACCAGAGCUUUCCUGCCAGUUUCCGGGUUUACAGUAGAUUGAUUUGAUAAUGUUAAAUUUGUUUGAAUUAGCCCCUUUUUGUCUGCCCUCUGAAGAUCAGCUCUAAGGCCUGGGAGCCACUCAGCAUCCAGAUUUUGAUUCCUCAACUCUUUAAAUUUUCCCGAGAUGACAUUUGUUCUCUAGUCAUUCCUGGCCAUAAAUGACUAGUUUUUAAAUUUUAUCUUUAUUGUCGCCAUAAUUUUAGGUAAUGUUAGUGUAGCUUAAGGACCGUGGUUUGUUUUUUAAAAAGUUUUUAAAUUUAAGUAUAGUUGAUUUAUAAUGUUGUAUCAGUUUCUGCUUUACAAAAGUCUGUAGUUUUUUAAAGCCCUCUGUCAGAACACUGGUUAUUUCCUUACUUGAUUGGCUAAGUAAAACUCAGAUUUUUUUUUUAUGAGUUCGUGAUACCUAGGGCCACAUGAUUAAAUAAAUCAUUUUUGGGAGUUCCUGUCGUGGCCUAGCGGAAACAAAUCUGACUAGCAUCCAUGAGGACGCAGGUUCCAUCCCUGGCCUUGCUCAUUGGGUUAAGGAUCCCACAUUACUCUGGCUAUGGUGUAGGCCAGCAGCUACAUCUCUGAUUCCACCCCUAGCCUGGGAACCUCCAUGUGCUGUGGGUGUGGCC
rnacentral:lncRNA from 1 species